rnacentral:lncRNA from 1 species
UAAUAUACAUCUAGAAAUCUGUAAUUUUUCGAAUUUAAUUUUGUGCAGUUUUUGGCGCCCCCUUCUAAUUAUCCCCCGAGUAGUUUCGGUUUUCUGUUUACAUUUGUUAGAGACUUAGAGUUCAGAGUGCCCGGCUGCGAAGUAAAAAAUCGGUGGUUUGAAUUCUGCAAUAAAAUACACCUAUUACAUUAAACACACAAUAAGAAUAGUUUCGUAGUUAUGACGAUCAUCCCGGAAUGUUAAAAAGUGUGAGAUACUAUUUGUGAAAAGAUCUAGCGUGUUAAUGUUUUAAGCGUAUCUGUUAGAUUUCAUUUUUCGUCGAUGUCGCUUUCCUUCGGUGAGCUCGCGUCAAUUUUCCCAUGAAGACAACUCGACUUGUACCGUAGUAAAUUGAUGAACAUCUCGGUACUAACUGCUGCGAAAGGUGCAGCAGCUAUGCCGGACUCAGGUGAAUCCAAACGAAAGAGAAGAGUGGAAGAAAACAACGAUUUCAUUCAGCGAAAGCAAAAGUGUCCAGAAUGUCUGGAACCAACUGGGAGGUUGUUAAAACAGGCUAGAAAAGCUUGCGAAGAAUUCAGCGAAUCCACCAUCUUCUACCAAACUCGAGGACAAGGAUAGAGAAGGCCUUGAUAAAAGAACAUCAAAGAUAGAAGAAGAUGAAAUCAAACAGCUUCGAACGCUUACAACACUUGGCUACGAUCCGCGAUUCCUCCACGAGAAGCGCCAUCUUAUCUGUGAUUUCGUUUUAGAAUCUCUUAUGAAUGGCCGAGAUAUGUACAAGUCUGCUCCUGGAUGCCGUUGCAAGAUUGUCAGCGAAUUACAGAAUCAUUUUGUAAUGUACCUAUUAUAAAAUUAUAGAAAAAUACGCUAUAGCCACGUUUGCUCCUUGUAGUUUAAGUGAAGAUAGCGGUUGUUAACAGAAUAUGAUUCAAUAACAUGGGAAAAGUUCUGUGUUAAAGUCUCGAUAAAGUUUCACUGUUUCACCUAGAUUACCUAUGCAUUGAGACAUGCGUGCAUAUAGUAAAAAAUGAACGCGUAGAUAGCAGAAUUUCUCUCAUUUUUUUCUCGUUGGUUUUCUAGGUCUUCAUAACAUGAAAUCAAAGCGCACAGCCAAGGGCUCUUGUAGGAAGUGGUAAAUCGGUCUUUGUGCCUGAGCUUUAUAAGCAGAAAACAAAGAAAGCCAAAAACAAAUGGAGAUGAUCUUAAAAAUUGCAUCAGCUAAUUAUUUGUUCGCAUUUAGGGUGCGAGCAACGUAUCACGGACCUAGGCGCAGAUUAAAAUCGUGUUAAUGUGGGCAGCAAUUUUACACUAGCUACUCUGAAUACAAAUGAGAUCGAAACGAUUCUAGGGGUUAUAUAUGGAACGGUAGCACGUAGGACACUCGGUAAGGUAUUUUUUUUUUAUCAAGAAUGAAUGUUAUUAUAAAUAGUAGAAAAAGACGAAGAAACAUCUGAUGGAGGAAUUACUAUUUAUAGAGUAAAACUACGAAAAGGAGACGCAUUUUCGAUAUAUAAAAGACUGGUGGAUCAAUAAAGUCAUAAAGCCUUUCUCAAAGAUGGACGAUGGUCGAUCGGUUUUCCUGUCUUAAAAGCGUUUUGUUCAAAACACACUUCUAGCAAACUAACGCUGCUAGUGAUUACUUGAGAGUCUCACGCUGAGGUAUAUGUUUUUUAUACUGUGUCUGAUCUGCGAUUGGUUGGUACGUGUACAGAAAUAGGCAGGAGUUAUCUGGGGUAUCCUAUUUUUUCUGUCAACUCGACAAUUCUAGCGCACCUCUUAGCCAUUCGUUAGCUGCUGCAAUUUAGAGUUUGUGGUAGAUUGACACGUUAAUCUGAUUGCCACUGUCAUCAGCAAGUGAGAUUCUACUCAGAUCACUUCUUUAAGGCCGUGGAUGUACAUCUGGUAUCACUAUUUGGUAUUUGUACAGUAUGUACUGUUUAUUACUGCUGGUAUUACUAUAUGUACAAUAUAGAGUAGUUUCGGCACAGUGUCUUGGGCCGCAAGACCCAGGUCGACGACACCCACUAUUGUAAUAAUUGUCAUGAUUUACGUAUAAUAAUACUAACCGUAACACAGGCAGCGGCAAGAGCGUCACAUUAGACAGAGGAAAAUUAGCUGAUUGCGGCUGAGUUUCAAAGCUCAUGAAUCUUCAACGACAUGCGUAAUUUUAACGCAACACAAAAGAGUGCGACUCUCAAUAACAACUCACAACUUCUCAAAGUGACAUUCAAAACUACCUAGAAAAAAAGCCAAUAUUCUACAGCUAGGAAACUUUACCAAAGCCCCCCGAUACUGCCGAAGCAAAUAUCCCAAGGUAAGGCCCGAUAUCCGUAAACGACACCCACACAUUAAGAUGAAACAGGACUACAUAACGCUUGUCACAGUCAUUCACUGACGGAUUAUGACUAAUCAAUUGUUAAUUCGAAAUUCAAGUUCACGCGAAAAUCGUUGUCUGAUCUGAUAGUUAAGGAUGUCAUUUGGAGAAAAUAGUUGACACUUUCCAUAUUAUAGAAAGGGUAAAAAUUAAUGGAAGACUGGAAACAACUCGGUAGCAGGCAAGGGGUUCUAAAUCAAUGUAAAAAACUUGCCCUAUAUUUUUUCUAUACUUUAGCGAAACUAUUUUUCGAUCAUUACGCCUGUAGAUCAUUACGCCAUUAGAAUAAGCAAACGUAAAGCAAAAAGGUAAUACAAGUUAUACGGAAUAUUAUACCAAUAAGCAUAACGUUGAGGUAUAAUGACCUCCUGAACACGUAGCAACCUUUGCGUUCCAUAUAUUGUUUGGAAUCUUGUUAUCAUUUGAAUUGAUAGAUAAGUACUUCGGUGCGAAUUAAUUAAACUUGAAACAGAGGAAACUGGAACGAACGCGAACUUACCGUUUCCUCUGUUUAAAUGCAACCGCCUUCAAUAACCAAUGCGUUCAUCCGAAAAUGCACAUUAUCCAACGUUUAGCAUUAAAUGUAUCAUUAAUAUAACCGUAUGUAUCAUUAGUAUAAAUAUGACUAGAGCUUCACUAGUUGUGACAUUACCUUUUUUAAUUUUUUUAAGAAGGGGGAAGUGUUAUUCACAUUAGUGAACACCAUCCGGGAUGGAAAUAAGUUCGGCAAACUUAGUUUGAUUUUAAAAAAUCACCUCUUGUCAUCUCUCUCUAAACGUAUGCCAAUGAUUUGGAACCGCUGAAAUGUUAUGUUGAUGCAGUACAGACGUUGGCGACUAAGGGUUGGUUACUUCAGUCAACACGUGACCAACUUAAAAUGCUCAUGCAAGGUUAUCGAUUAGUAUUUGCAACGGCUUGAUUCUGCCAAAAAUCUACCGUUUGAUACGUUACGUACACAUUCGAGUAAUGAUCAAGGUGUCGUUGGAACGUGGGCAAAUAACACGAGGUUCGCUGUCUCCUUGUAAGCCUUAGAUAAAAAUAAGAACACUAUGACGUUUGAAAACACGUCUUUUCACAUAAUUUGAAUGCUUUUUUAUUUCUACGUCGUUAUAAAUUUUCAACGAUUCCACCAAUGUUAACCACAUCCAGAAUUGUAAGACUUGUCAUACGCUCAAGGGUAAUAGUUUGUGGAUCUCACUUUCGCUAUAGCUGUUCCUGCCGAA